CCUACGGGAGGCAGCAGUGAGGAAUAUUGGUCAAUGGGCGGAAGCCUGAACCAGCCAAGUAGCGUGCGGGAUGAAGGCCCUACGGGUCGUAAACCGCUUUUGCACGGGGAUAACACCCUCCACUUGUGGAGGUCUGCAGGUACCGUGCGAAUAAGGGCCGGCUACUUCCGUGCCAGCAGCCGCGGUAAUAAGGAAGGCCCGAGCGUUAUCCGGAUUCAUUGGGCUUAAAGGGAGAGUAGGCGGGCGUUCAAGUCAGCUGUAAAAUCGCGCGGCUCAACCGCGCCCCGCAGUUGAAACUGGACGCAUUGAGUGCACAACAGCCAGGCGGAAUUCGUGGUGUAGCGGUGAAAUGCAUAGAUAGCACGAGGAACCCCGAUUGCGAAGGCAGCCUGCCGGGGUGCGACUGACGCUGAGGCUCGAAGGUGCGGGUAUCAAACAGGAUUAGAUACCCUAGUAGUC
rnacentral:rRNA from 1 species